UACGGGGGGGAGCAAGCGUUGUUCGGAUUUACUGGGCGUAAAGGGCGCGUAGGCGGUCAGCACAAGUCAGUUGUGAAAUCUCCGGGCUUAACUCGGAAAGGUCAACUGAUACUGUGCGACUAGAGUGCAGAAGGGGCAACUGGAAUUCCUGGUGUAGCGGUGAAAUGCGCAGAUAUCAGGAGGAACACCGAUGGCGAAGGCAGGUCUCUGGGCCACUACUGACGCUGAGAAGCGAAAGCAUGGGGAGCGAACAGG
rnacentral:rRNA from 1 species